rnacentral:lncRNA from 1 species
GAGGACUGCAGGGUUUGGGGGUGGGUGCUUGAGAGGUAGGAGGUAAGAGAGCUCUGGAGGGAGGGGAGGUGUCAGCAAAGGCUCAGUGGGCGCCAGGCACCCCUGUGGGACGUGGGGCUAGAGGUGAGGGGGCUGGAGGAGGGCGUGACCAGCGGGAGGGUGAGAAUCAAGGGGGUGGUCCUGGGGGCUUUGAUGCCCCAACUGCUGGGAAACAGCAGCAAGCCCUCAGGCCCAGCCUGUCGCCUGCACGCUCCAAAUUAAAUAACUCCAACUCCCCUCUUAUUUCCUCUCUGACAGCAACUUAUCGCGAAGGCAGACGCUCCUGACAUUCUAAUAUUCAGAGUCACAUCCUGUGGGAUAAACCCAUCGCUGUUGUCUGAGCCAACGAUUUGUACCAGGAGCGGAGGGAGCCGGGAGGGGCCAGGAGACGCUGGGCCUGGGGCUGCUGGAGGAAAGGGAAAAGAGGAAAAGCACUCAGGCCUGAAAGGAAGUACAAAAACCUGGAAGAGAGAAGCUCUGAGAACACCCUGAAGACUUGCUGACCGCUCUGGCCUUUAAAAUGCGAGGAGUAUGGUAAUCUAAUAAACGUGGCAACAAAGCCUUUGUCACCAAGCUAAUUUUAUUAGAACAGAUCUCAAAUGGCUAAUUUCCUUUUACUAAUGAGCAAAUUAGUUGAAUCUCUGAUCUGCUUUUAAGGCACUUAUACUAAUAAAACAUGAACGACAGUGAAAUUUGUUGUGAGAUGUGGUGACAUCCUUGGGUUGCAGUGAGUCUCCAAGCUUGGAGGGUUGUUCUGACGUGGCCUGGCCCAGGGGGGCCUCCUGUCUGUGCAGGUCUGCUCAGAGCCCAGCCCCGCCUGAGGGAGGCAGGGUGUCAGAGGGGGACACAGGAUGGAGGAGGAAGGAGGGAGGAGGAGGAGGAGGAUGGAGGGGACAGGAGAGGAGAAUGGAGGCGGGGGAGCAGCAGGAGGUGGAUGGAGGAGGAGGAGACGGAAGAGGAGGACGGAGGAGAAUAGAGGAGGAUAGCAGAGGAGGAGGAUGGAGGAGGAAGAUGGAAGAGGAGAAAGGUGGAGGAAUCAGAGAAAGGAGGCAGGAGAUGGAAGAGGAUGGAGGAGGAAAUG